AGCUGAUGGGACACGCCGCGUGAGUGAGAAGGUCUUCGGAUCGUAAGCUCUGUUGCACGGGAGAAAACCGGGCUUGAAAAUAUUGAACUUGGGUGACGGUACCGAGCGAGGAAGCCACGGCUAACUACGUGCCAGCAGCCGCGGUAAUACGUAGGUGGCGAGCGUUGUCCGGAAUUAUUGGGCGUAAAGGGAGCGCAGGCGGACAUAUAAGUCCAUCUUAAAAGUGCGGGGCUCAACCCCGUGAGGGGAUGGAAACUGUAUGCCUUGAGUGCAGGAGAGGAAAGCGGAAUUCCCAGUGUAGCGGUGAAAUGCGUAGAUAUUGGGAGGAACACCAGUGGCGAAGGCGGCUUUCUGGACUGCAACUGACGCUGAGGCUCGAAAGCCAGGGGAGCGAACGGGAUUAGAUACCCCGGUAGUCCUGGCCGUAAACGAUGAAUGCUAGGUGUAGGAGGUAUCGACCCCUCCUGUGCCGGAGUUAACGC
rnacentral:rRNA from 1 species